GACGAACGCUGGCGGCGCGCCUAACACAUGCAAGUCGAACGAGCGAGCGAGAGCUUGCUUUCUCAAGCGAGUGGCGAACGGGUGAGUAACGCGUGAGGAACCUGCCUCAAAGAGGGGGACAACAGUUGGAAACGACUGCUAAUACCGCAUAAGCCCACAGGUCGGCAUCGACCAGAGGGAAAAGGAGCAAUCCGCUUUGAGAUGGCCUCGCGUCCGAUUAGCUAGUUGGUGAGGUAACGGCCCACCAAGGCAACGAUCGGUAGCCGGACUGAGAGGUUGAACGGCCACAGUGGGACUGAGACACGGCCCAGACUCCUACGGGAGGCAGCAGUGGGGAAUAUUGCACAAUGGGGGAAACCCUGAUGCAGCGACGCCGCGUGGAGGAAGAAGGUCUUCGGAUUGUAAACUCCUGUUGUUGAGGAAGAUAAUGACGGUACUCAACAAGGAAGUGACGGCUAACUACGUG
rnacentral:rRNA from 1 species